UACGUAGGUGGCAAGCGUUGUCCGGAUUUACUGGGCGUAAAGGGCGUGCAGGCGGUCUGUUAAGUGCAGGGUGAAAGCUCCCGGCUCAACUGGGAGAGGUCCUUGCAUACUGGCGGACUUGAGGGGGGUAGAGGAAAGUGGAAUUGCCGGUGUAGUGGUGAAAUGCGUAGAGAUGUGGAGGAACACCAGUGGCGAAGGCGACUCUUUGGCCUGUAACUGACGCUGAGGCGCGAAAGCGUGGGGAGCAAACAGG
rnacentral:rRNA from 1 species